ACUUCUUUAGUUUAUAUUUGUAAAAUUUAGUUUUGAUAAGGCUAAGAUGUAAGAGGUA
rnacentral:tRNA from 1 species